GCGCCCGUAGCUCAACCGGAUAGAGCACCGGCCUUCUAAGCCGACGGCUGCAGGUUCGAGUCCUGCCGGGCGCGCCA
rnacentral:tRNA from 1 species